AAGAAUGGACAAUUGUGCAUAGAGCACAUAAGUACAAACUCCAUGAUUGCGGAUCCGCUCACUAAGGGAUUGACAUCAAAAGUAUUUCAUGAGCAUAUUGCUUGCAUGGGUGUCAAAUCAGUUAAGGAUUAUGAAUUUUAGUGGGAGUUUGUAUUAUAAAACUAUGUAUUGGGCAUAUUGCUUGUAUGGGUGUCAAAUCAGAUAAGGAUUAUGUAUUUUAGUGGGAAUUUGUAUUGUACAAUUAUGUAUUGUCCAUUAUAUUCUGAAAUUCAGUAAUUCAGUUAUAUCUGCAGAUAUUCAGUUUUAAAGUUUUUGUACUCUUACCGUUUAUGAUUGAUCUCAAUAAAGAGAACCAGUUGGAAAUAGACAUUCUAUUGACCACACUUUAUGUUAUUUCCAUGCUACAUACCUACACUUGAUCCAUGNNNNN
rnacentral:lncRNA from 1 species